rnacentral:rRNA from 1 species
GACGGAAGGUGCAAGCGUUGCUCGGAAUCACUGGGCGUAAAGGGUGCGUAGGCGGCCGUGCAAGUCUGGCGUGAAAGCCCCGGGCUCAGCCCGGGAAGUGCGCUCGAAACUGCGCGGCUCGAGUGCCGGAGGGGAGAGUGGAAUUCCUGGUGUAGCGGUGAAAUGCGCAGAUAUCAGGAGGAACACCAAUUGCGAAGGCAGCUCGCUGGGACGUUACUGACGCUGAGACGCGAAAGCGUGGGGAGCAAACAGG